GUUAGGAAUAUUGGACAAUGGGCGAAAGCCUGAUCCAGCCAUGCCGCGUGAACGAUGAAGGCCUUCGGGUUGUAAAGAUCUUUAGCCGAUGAUUAUAAUGACUGUAGUCGGAAAAUAAGCCCCGGCUAACUUCGUGCCAGCAGCCGCGGUAAUACGAAGGGGGCGAGCGUUAUUCGGAAUCACUGGGCGUAAAGCGUGCGUAGGCGGUUUUGUAAGUUAGGAGUGAAAGCCCAGGGCUCAACCUUGGAAUUGCUCUUAAAACUGCAAGGCUCGAAUCUCGGAGAGGAGAGCGGAAUUUCCAGUGUAGCAGUGAAAUGCGUAGAUAUUGGAAGGAACACCAGUGGCGUAAGCGGCUAUCUGGACGAGUAUUGACGCUGAGGCACGAAAGCGUGGGGAUCAAACAGGAUUAGAAACCCUUGUAGUCC
rnacentral:rRNA from 1 species